CACGGGCGGCUGCAGUGGGGAAUAUUGGACAAUGGGCGAAAGCCUGAUCCAGCCAUGCCGCGUGUGUGAAGAAGGCCUUCGGGUUGUAAAGCACUUUCAGUGGGGAAGAAAGCCUUGGGGCUAAUACCCUCGAGGAAGGACAUCACCCACAGAAGAAGCACCGGCUAACUCCGUGCCAGCAGCCGCGGUAAUACGGAGGGUGCGAGCGUUAAUCGGAAUUACUGGGCGUAAAGCGCGCGUAGGCGGUCUGAUAAGCCGGUUGUGAAAGCCCCGGGCUCAACCUGGGAACGGCAUCCGGAACUGUCAGGCUAGAGUGCAGGAGAGGAAGGUAGAAUUCCCGGUGUAGCGGUGAAAUGCGUAGAGAUCGGGAGGAAUACCAGUGGCGAAGGCGGCCUUCUGGACUGACACUGACGCUGAGGUGCGAAAGCGUGGGUAGCAAACAGGAUUAGAUACCCCGGUAGUC
rnacentral:rRNA from 1 species